GUUUUUAUAGUUGAAUACAACACUGGUUUUUCAGACCAGGGGUUCCGGUUGAAAUUCGGAUAGAAAUU
rnacentral:tRNA from 1 species